rnacentral:rRNA from 1 species
GAUAAACGCUGGCGGCGUGCAUAACACAUGCAAGUCGAACGAUGAAGCUUAGAUGAUUUCUUCGGAAUGAACUUAAGUGGAUUAGUGGCGAACGGGUGAGUAACACGUGAGUAACCUGCCUUACACAAGGGGAUAGCCUCUGGAAACGGAGAAUAAUACCCUAUAAAGUCUAAUCAGCUCCUGCUGGAAAGACCAAAGAUUUAUCGGUGUAAGAUGGACUUGCGUCUGAUUAGCUAGUUGGUGAGAUAAAAGCUCACCAAGGCGACGAUCAGUAGCCGGCUUGAGAGAGUGUACGGCCACAUUGGGACUGAGACACGGCCCAAACUCCUACGGGAGGCAGCAGUGGGGAAUUUUGCACAAUGGGGGAAACCCUGAUGCAGCGACGCCGCGUGAUUUAGAAGGCCUUCGGGUUGUAAAAAUCUUUUUUACGGGAUGAAAAUGACAGUACCGUAAGAAUAAGGUCCGGCUAAAUACGUGCCAGCAGCCGCGGUAAUACGUAUGGACCGAGCGUUGUCCGGAAUCAUUGGGCGUAGGGUACGUAGGCGGCCUAGUAAGUUAGAAGUGAAAGAAUAUAGCUCAACUAUAUAAAGCUUUUAAAACUGUUAGGCUUGAGAGAUGAAAGGGAAAGUGGAAUUCCUAGUGUAGCGGUGAAAUGCGCAGAUAUUAGGAAGAAUACCGGUGGCGAAGGCGACUUUCUGGUCAUCAUCUGACGCUGAGGUACGAAAGCGUGGGUAGCAAACAGGAUUAGAUACCCUGGUAGUCCACGCUGUAAACGAUGAGUGUUAGGUUCUUGGAAUAAUCUGGGAGCCGCAGCUAACGCAUUAAACACUCCGCCUGGGGAGUACGCACGCAAGUGUGAAACUCAAAGGAAUUGACGGGGACCCGCACAAGCAGCGGAGCAUGUGGUUUAAUUCGACGCAACGCGAAGAACCUUACCAAGUCUUGACAUAAUACGGAGGCAAUUAGAGAUAAUAGCUUAUCACUUCGGUGAACUGUAUUACAGGUGGUGCAUGGUUGUCGUCAGCUCGUGUCGUGAGAUGUUGGGUUAAGUCCCAUAACGAGCGCAACCCCUAUCGUUAGUUACCAUCAUUAAGUUGGGGGCUCUAGCGAUACUGCCGGUGAUAAACCGGAGGAAGGUGGGGACGACGUCAAAUCAUCAUGCCCUUUAUGACUUGGGCUACACACGUGCUACAAUGGCAGAUACAGAGGGCAGCGAAAGAGUGAUCUGAAGCGAAACUCACAAAAUCUGUCCCAGUUCGGAUUGUACUCUGCAACUCGAGUACAUGAAGUUGGAGUUGCUAGUAAUCGCGAAUCAGAAUGUCGCGGUGAAUGCGUUCCCGGGUCU